UCCAGACUCCUACGGGAGGCAGCAGUGGGGAAUAUUGGUCAAUGGGCGCGAGCCUGAACCAGCCAAGUAGCGUGAAGGAUGACUGCCCUACGGGUUGUAAACUUCUUUUAUAAGGGAAUAAAGUGAGGCACGUGUGCCUUUUUGUAUGUACUUUAUGAAUAAGGAUCGGCUAACUCCGUGCCAGCAGCCGCGGUAAUACGGAGGAUCCGAGCGUUAUCCGGAUUUAUUGGGUUUAAAGGGAGCGUAGGCCGGUCUUUAAGCGUGCCGUGAAAUUUUGUGGCUCAACCAUGAGAGUGCGGCGCGAACUGAAGACCUUGAGUGCGCGGAAGGCAGGCGGAAUUCGUGGUGUAGCGGUGAAAUGCUUAGAUAUCACGCAGAACUCCGAUUGCGAAGGCAGCAUACCGGCGCCCAACUGACGCUGAAGCACGAAAGCGUGGGUAUCGAACAGGAUUAGAUACCCCCGUACUG
rnacentral:rRNA from 1 species